GAAGGGGUGACUAGUGGCAGAGUGAGGGAAGGAAGGGGUGACUAGUGGCAGAGUGAGGAAGGGGGUGACACAGUGACAGAGUGAAGGAGGUGGUGACUGUUACUAGUCACCCCAUCCCUCCCUCUGUCACUAAUCACCACCUCCCUCACUCUGUCACUAGUCACCCCAUCCCUCCCUCUGUCACUAGUCACCACCUCCCUCACUCUGUCACUAGUCACCCCCUCUC